AACGAACGCUGGCGGCAUGCCUAACACAUGCAAGUCGAACGAGAUCUUCGGGUCUAGUGGCGCACGGGUGCGUAACGCGUGGGAAUCUGCCCUUUGGUUCGGAAUAACAGUUGGAAACGACUGCUAAUACCGGAUGAUGACGAAAGUCCAAAGAUUUAUCGCCAGAGGAUGAGCCCGCGUAGGAUUAGCUAGUUGGUGUGGUAAAGGCGCACCAAGGCGACGAUCCUUAGCUGGUCUGAGAGGAUGAUCAGCCACACUGGGACUGAGACACGGCCCAGACUCCUACGGGAGGCAGCAGUGGGGAAUAUUGGACAAUGGGCGAAAGCCUGAUCCAGCAAUGCCGCGUGAGUGAUGAAGGCCUUAGGGUUGUAAAGCCCUUUUACCCGGGAUGAUAAUGACAGUACCGGGAGAAUAAGCUCCGGCUAACUCCGUGCCAGCAGCCGCAGUAA
rnacentral:rRNA from 1 species